GCCAGCAUGGUUUAGUGGUUUGACUAUUGGACUACAGUUCUGAAGAUCAGGGUUUAAUUCCCCGCUCGGCCA